rnacentral:lncRNA from 1 species
GUUAUGUUUUAUUUCUGCAUUUAGUAAUUUAAUAAUUAAAUGGUUCAGUUAGAUGAUCCCCUGAAUGUUUGAAUGUCCGUGAACUUGUUUGAGUUGGUGAUUUCCGUUAUGCAUGUGAUUGGAGAUUUAUGGAUCUGUGGCUUUGGUUUUAUGGAUAAUUGGUUCUUUGAUUUAUGUAUUUAUGCAUCGUGGUUUUCUACCCCUCGAGGUAGUCGAUUUUCAAAACAGAGUUUCCGAGUGGGAAACAAUUUUAAAAGGAUUUUCGAAUGGUUUUAUGGAUGAUUAAUUAGAGUUUAAAAACAAAGCUUCCGAGUAGGGAGCACUUUUAAGUAGGAUGAUUGUUGUACUGUGCAUCGCAUCAUCCAGCGC